rnacentral:tRNA from 1 species
GCCCAGGUAGCUCAGCUGGUAGAGCAGCGGACUGAAAAUCCGCGUGUCGGUGGUUCAAAUCCGCCCCUGGGCACCA